rnacentral:rRNA from 1 species
AGCGAACGCUGGCGGCAGGCCUAACACAUGCAAGUCGAACGAACUCUUCGGAGUUAGUGGCGGACGGGUGAGUAACACGUGGGAACGUGCCUUUUGGUUCGGAAUAACUCAGGGAAACUUGUGCUAAUACCGAAUGUGCCCUUCGGGGGAAAGAUGUAUCGCCAUUAGAGCGGCCCGCGUCUGAUUAGCUAGUUGGUGAGGUAACGGCUCACCAAGGCGACGAUCAGUAGCUGGUCUGAGAGGAUGACCAGCCACACUGGGACUGAGACACGGCCCAGACUCCUACGGGAGGCAGCAGUGGGGAAUCUUGCGGAAUGGGCGAAAGCCUGACGCAGCCAUGCCGCGUGAAUGAUGAAGGUCUUAGGAUUGUAAAAUUCUUUCACCGGGGACGAUAAUGACGGUACCCGGAGAAGAAGCCCCGGCUAACUUCGUG